AUAAUCCAAUUAUUUUGGAAUAUUUAACCGAAGAGGGUGAUAGUCCCGUAUAAUUAUUUUUUUAUUGUUAUAUUGAGUAGGGCAAAACACGUGGUAUUUUGUCUGAAAAUGGGAGGACCAUCUUCCAAGCCUAAAGAUAUCUAAAUGACCGAUAGCGAACUAGUACCGUGAGGGAAAGGUGAAAAGAAUCCGAGAGUAUUUAAAAGAACCUGAAACCAAACGCAUACAUCCACAUAGAGCUUGAUUAUAAAGUGAUAUGGUACCUUUUGUAUAAUGGGUCAGCAACAUUAUUUAGGUAGUAAGCUUAACUUGAUAAAGUGUAAGCGAAGCGAAAGCGAGUUUGAAAAUAAAAGCGUUAAUUAUCUAAAUAAAACCCGAAACCAAGUGAUCUAGCCAUGAGCAGAUUGAAGUUACUGUACAAGGUAAUGGAGGAUCGAACCCGUGUGUGUUGCAAAAUACUGGGAUGACUUGUGGCUAGGAGUGAAAGGCUAAUCAAACUUGGACAUAGCUGGUUUUCCGCGAAAUAUAUUUAGGUAUAGCGUUGAAGUCGUCAAUUAAUUUGACAAUAAAAGUCUGGGGUAGAGCACUCGUUGUACUCGGGG
rnacentral:rRNA from 1 species